rfam:Medicago truncatula strain A17 unplaced genomic scaffold scaffold0236, whole genome shotgun sequence.
AAACAAAUCCCUAUGUACCGGAUCUUUGCCAGUUUUGACCCCCAAGGUCACUUUUGACUUAGUCUUCGCUGAUGUGGCAUCCAUAAUGGUUGACAUGUGGCACCUCACUAAAGGGAUGUGGGUGCCACGUCAGCGAAGACUAAGUCAAAAGUGGCCUUGGGGGCCAAAACUGGCAAAGAUCCAAUACAUAGGGGGUUGUUU